AAAACCCUCCAAACAGAGAAAAGGGAGGAGCCAAGUGCCUGCUCUCAGCCCAGGAGACCAGCACCCUGAGUGCAAAGAUGCUUAGACCUGUCCUUCCUGACCUUGCCUGGGGACCCAGGUUCCUCUCCUACAUCAUCCUUUGUCUCCUGGGAGCAGGAAGGGGUGUGGCAGGUUAAUUAUGCAGCUCAUGCAUUUGUAAGGGACAGUGACAUCAUUUGACUCACUUGAAGCCCAAUUUCUACUUCCCCUAAAUAGGACUCAAAGCUGCAAGAUUCUGCAUUGGUCCUAAAAUGGGCACCAAGCUUUUCCUCUGUGUGGCCUGCUGUCUCCUGUGGGCAGGACACUUGGAGGCUGAAAUCACCCAGAGCCCAAGACACAUCAUCACAGAGACAGGAGAAAAGGUGACUUUGCGCUGCCACCAGACCUACAACUAUGAAUACAUGUACUGGUAUCGCCAAGACCCAGGGCAAGGGCUGCAGCUGAUCCAUUACUCAUAUGGUGUUGGCAACACUGCCAAAGGAGACGUGUCUGACGGGUACAGUGUCUCCAGAUCAAACAAAACAGACUUCCCCCUCACUCUGGAGUCGCCCACCCGCUCCCAGACAGCUGUGUACUUCUGUGCCACCAGUGACAACACAUUUGCUGCUGCUCUCUUCAGCAGCCCUCUCUUUCUACCUGCAAAAGGAAAAUGCAUCUUAGUGGAGGUUCCUGUUGAAGGCCUUGCCAGUCUCAAGGCCACCAACUUCUCACCCCAGGGCUUCAGUGUCUUCCUCAUCCUCCUAUAG